UACGGGGGGGGCAAGCGUUGUUCGGAAUUACUGGGCGUAAAGGGCUCGUAGGCGGCCAACUAAGUCAUACGUGAAAUCCCUCGGCUUAACCGGGGAACUGCGUCUGAUACUGGAUGGCUUGAGUUCGGGAGAGGGAUGCGGAAUUCCAGGUGUAGCGGUGAAAUUCGUAGAUAUUAGGAAGAACACCAGUGGCGAAGGCGGCUCACUGGUCCGGUACUGACGCUGAGGUGCGAAAGCGUGGGGAGCAAACAGG
rnacentral:rRNA from 1 species